rnacentral:rRNA from 1 species
CCUACGGGAGGCAGCAGUGAGGAAUAUUGCGCAAUGGGCGAGAGCCUGACCCAGCGACGCCGCGUGAGGGAUGAAGGUCUUCGGAUCGUAAACCUCUGUCAGCAGGGAAGAACGGUCACUGUGCUAAUCAGCAGUGAAUUGACGGUACCUGCAAAGGAAGCACCAGCUAACUCCGUGCCAGCAGCCGCGGUAAGACGGAGGGUGCGAGCGUUAAUCGGAAUUACUGGGCGUAAAGCGCUCGUAGGCGGUAUGUCAAGUCAAGGGUGAAAUCCCCGGGCACAACGUGGGAACUGCCUUUGAAACUGGCAAACUGGAGUGGGUGAGAGGAUAGUGGAAUUCCAGGUGUAGGAGUGAAAUCCGUAGAUAUCUGGAGGAACAUCAGUGGCGAAGGCGACUAUCUGGCACAUAACUGACGCUGAGGAGCGAAAGCGUGGGUAGCAAACAGGAUUAGAUACCCGUGUAGUC